CUAUAUAUUGGGUUUGGAUGUUGCCUUCACAUGCUCUCUAUUUUCCUCAUCUAUUGGUGUUUUUGUUGCUUGGUUGCCUUAAUAAAGUAGCUAAUGAAAGGAGUCUUAACCAUUCCUAAAGCUACAUUUAAUCAUUAUGCAGAUACAUGAAUCAUGAUAAUAAGAAACAGGAUCACUACAAUCCUAAGACAAAAGGACCGGCGCUAUGAUGCUAGCUUCCAAUGCUGGCUCCC